rnacentral:piRNA from 1 species
UGCCCUCUGUGCCAAGGGAAGCUGUG